rnacentral:rRNA from 1 species
AUAUAAAGUUGUUGCAGUUAAAAAGCUCGUAGUUGGAUCUGGGUUCGGGUCGGCGGUUUGCCGCUCUGCGGCUACUGCCGUGCUCGACUCUUACUAGCCGGUGCGUCUCGCGGGUGCUCUUCACUGAGUGCCACGAGAGCCUGGCAUGUUUACUUUGAAAAAAUUAGAGUGCUCAAAGCAGGCGCUUGCGCCUGAAUAGUGUUGCAUGGAAUAAUGGAAUAGGACCUCGGUUCUAUUUUGUUGGUUUUCGGAACUUGAGGUAAUGAUUAAGAGGGACGGUCGGGGGCAUUCGUAUUUCGGUGUUAGAGGUGAAAUUCUUGGAUCGCUGAAAGACGGACAAAUGCGAAAGCAUCUGCCAAGAACGUCUCCAUUAAUCAAGAACGAAAGUCAGAGGUUCGAAGACGAUCAGACACCGUCCUAGUUCUGACCAUAAACGAUGCCAACUAGCGAUCCGCAGUGGUUGCUAUCAACGGACUCUGCGAGCAGCUUCCGGGAAACCAAAGUGUUUGGGUUCCGGGGGAAGUAUGGUUGCAAAGCUGAAACUUAAAGGAAUUGACGGAAGGGCACCACCAGGAGUGGAGCCUGCGGCUUAAUUUGACUCAACACGGGGAAACUCACCCGGUCCGGACACCGUAAGGAUUGACAGAUCGAGAGCUCUUUCUUGAUUCGGUGGAUGGUGGUGCAUGGCCGUUCUUAGUUGGUGGAGUGAUUUGUCUGGUUAAUUCCGAUAACGAACGAGACUCUAGCCUGCUAACUAGUUGCGCCGUGUUCAUUCGCGGCCGUAGACUUCUUAGAGGGACAGAUGGCGUUUAGCCAUACGAAAUUGAGCAAUAACAGGUCUGUGAUGCCCUUAGAUGUCCGGGGCCGCACGCGCGCUACACUGAAGGAGUCAGCGUGUGCUAUCCGCGCUCGGAAGAGCUCGGUAACCCGUUGAAACUCCUUCGUGCUUGGGAUUGUGGCUUGUAAUUAUCGCGCAUGAACGAGGAAUUCCCAGUAAGUGCAAGUCAUCAGCUUGCGCUGACUACGUCCCUGCCCUUUGUACACACCGCCCGUCGCUACUACCGAUUGAAUGGCA